rnacentral:rRNA from 1 species
CCAGACUCCUACGGGAGGCAGCAGUGGGGGAUAUUGGACAAUGGGGGAAACCCUGAUCCAGCGACGCCGCGUGAGUGAAGAAGUAUUUCGGUAUGUAAAGCUCUAUCAGCAGGGAAGAAAGAAAUGACGGUACCUGAGUAAGAAGCCCCGACUAACUACGUGCCAGCAGCCGCGGUAAUACGUAGGGGGCAAGCGUUAUCCGGAAUUACUGGGUGUAAAGGGAGCGUAGACGGUUAAGCAAGUCUGGAGUGAAAGGCGGGGGCCCAACCCCCGGACUGCUCUGGAAACUGUGUAACUAGAGUGCAGGAGAGGUAAGCGGAAUUCCUAGUGUAGCGGUGAAAUGCGUAGAUAUUAGGAGGAACACCAGUGGCGAAGGCGGCUUGCUGGACGGUAACUGACGUUGAGGCUCGAAAGCGUGGGGAGCAAACAGGAUUAGAUACCCCGGUA